AGGUGAUUGAUGCCCGGUGAGAAGGUGAAAGUGACCUAUACCCCUGUCAGCUGCAGGAAAGGAACCAAGAGACAGGUGACUGAUGCCCGGUGAGAAGGUGAAAGUGACCUAUACCCCCGUCAGCUGCAGUAAAGGAACCAACAGACAGGUGACUGAUGCCCGGUGAGAAGGUGAAAGUGACCUAUACCCCCGUCAGCUGCAGGAAAGGAACCAAGAGACAGGUGAUUGAUGCCCGGUGAGAAGGUGAAAGUGACCUAUACCCCCGUCAGCUGCAGGAAAGGAACAAAGAGACAGGUGAUUGAUGCCCGGUGAGAAGGUGAAAGUGACCUAUACCCCCGUCAGCUGCAGGAAAGGAACAAAGAGACAGGUGAUUGAUGCCCGGUGAGAGGGUGAAAGGGACCUAUAUCCCCGUCAGCUGCAGGAAAGGAACAAAGAGAAAGGUGAUUGAUGCCCGGUGAGAGGGUGAAAGGGACCUAUACCCCCGUCAGCUGCAGGAAAGGAACAAAGAGACAGGUGAUUGAUGCCCGGUGAGAGGGUGAAAGGGACCUAUACCCCCGUCAGCUGCAGGAAAGGAACAAAGAGACAGGUGAUUGAUGCCAGGUGAGAAGGUGAAAGUGACCUAUACCCCUGUCAGCUGCAGGAAAGGAACCAAGAGACAGGUGAUUGAUGCCCGGUGAGAGGGUGAAAGGGACCUAUACCCCCGUCAGCUGCAGGAAAGGAACAAAGAGACAGGUGAUUGAUGCCCGGUGAGAGGGUGAAAGGGACCUAUACCCCCGUCAUCUGCAGGAAAGGAACAAAGAGACAGGUGAUUGAUGCCCGGUGAGAAGGUGAAAGUGAGCUAUACCCCCGUCAGCUGCAGGAAAGGAACCAAGAGACAGUGGACAACCUCCAGACCCUGAAAGACUAGAGUGUCAUGAUUGCCUUUAUGAACCAGAUUCAUAUGUUCAAUGAAUCUAGGGACUCCUUUCCUGGAUCUAAUAGAGUAAACGUGUUCCCUGAAGCGAGUGUUCAUCGCUCGCUUUGUGCUUCCUACAUAGAAUCUCCCACAGGUACAGUUCAUUGCAUAAACCACCCACUGAGUUCUGCAAGUUAUUAACAUUUUAAUAGGAAUUUCUUCUCCUCCUACAAAGGCUGUUUUGCCUGUCUUAAGGUGUGGGCACCAAAUGCAAGAGCCGCACCUGUGGUUACCCACAGGGCCGGCUCCAGUCAACCAAUCUUUCUUUACAGAUUUUGAAGUGAAGUUGCUACUAGUAACGACAUCUUUCAAAUUUUUGCAACGUCUGAAUGUUACCAAUGGUUUCUCAUUCAAAAUUUUACACAAAUCAUUAUCAUUCAUAAUAAGUGGCCAGUUCUUAUGCACAGCAGAUCUGAUGAUUUUCUCAAGGGGGCUAAAUUUAAAUGAAAAAGAAA